rnacentral:tRNA from 1 species
GCAGGUGUGGUGGAAUUGGUAGACGCGAUAGACUCAAAAUCUAUUAUAGGAAACUAUGUGUGGGUUCGAGUCCCACCACCUGCACCA